UUGACCUCAAAUCAGGUAGGACUACCCGCUGAACUUAAGCAUACAAAA
rnacentral:rRNA from 1 species